AGCACUUAGGAGACAAAAACGCUUAGUCUCAGCCAAUAGGAAAACUGGAUUUCAGCUCGGUGGCCCGUACACCCAAUCAGAGCACGACUUUCGAGGUGAAAGUCAAUAGUGUUAGCAUUAGCAACAAGUUUUUAGCUGUUAGGGAUUUAUGUUAUGUCAACAUUACAGAAUGCUGAAAGACAUAGCAUUUGAAAAAAAUUUCUAGUCGGGAAAAAAUGUAGCUCUGUUUUAAAAUUCCUAUCACUACUUUGCUAACAAUAGCAUAAGGAGCGAAAUGAGCUAACCUUUGGAGCAGCUCUUCAAAGACUGACAGGAGCAUUGUCAUCUUGGAUGAUACCACUCCAAUCAAGAUAGAAAUCAUUCAUCCCAGGACAAAGACGAUCCAUGAAAACAACUUUCUAUUGAUUUGCAGUGCCUCUUUUCUCAACAAGGGAGGAUGAUUUUCAGAGCACAUCCUGUAAAAGCACAAGAAUAAAAGCAGCGUAUUAUGAAAAAGGGAAGCUGA